UGAGAAUAAAAAGGGAUAGGUGCAGAGACUCAAUGGAAGCUGUUCUAACGAAUGAAAUUGAUUACGUUACGUUAGUAGCUAAAAUCUUUCUAUCGAAAUGACAGAAAGGAUAACUUUAUAUACCUAAUACGUACGUAUACAUACUGAAAUAGCAAACGAUUAAUCACAACCCAAAUAUUAUAUCGAAUCCUAUUCUGUAUUUCUAUAUAGGAAAAAAGAAAUCUUCUAUUUCUUUAUCUUUUUUAUCUUUAUAUUAUAUAUUAGUAUAUAUAUUCAUUCUAUAUUCUAUUUAUUCUAUAUUCUAUUCUUCUAAUUAUUCUAGAAUAGAAUAGUAUAACUCUAUUAGAAAAUAAUAGAAUAAUUUAUUAUUUUCUAUAUUCUUUAUUUAUUUCUUAUUUAUAUUACUAUUAAUAUGAGUAAUAUUAUGAGAUAAAGAUCUAUAGAAACCCUCUAUUAAUUAGAAUAAUAGAGAUCAAAAAAUAUAUGAAAAAUCGAAGAGUUAUUGUGAAUCAAUUCUAAUUGAAGUUGAAAAAAGAAUCGAAUUCUAAUAUUCAGUGAUCAAAUGAUUCAUUCCAGAGUUUGAUAGAUCUUUUGAAGAUGAAUCGGACGAGAAUAAAGAGAGAGUCCCAUUUUACAUGUCAAUACCGACAACAAUGAAAUUUAUAGUAAUAGGAAAAUCCGUCGAAUUUUUAAAUCGUGAGGGUUCAAGUCCCUCUAUCCCCAAUAAAAAGACCAUUUUACUUCCUCGCUUUUUAUUUAUCCUCAUCCUCUUUUUUUUCAUCAGUGGCUCGGUUUAAACAAGAUGAAAUAUCUUUCUCGCUUCAUUCACUCUGUUCUUUCACAAAUGGAUACGAAUAUAAAUCCUCGUAUCUUCUUCCAAUCCAAUCUCAUUUUGUUUGUAUAAUACGAUAUGAACAUAUAUGUUCAAGGAAUCUCCGUUAUUGAAUCAUUCAUAGUCCGUAUCUUUUUACUUACAUUUACAAAGAAAGUCUUCUUUUUGAAGAUCUAAGAAAUUCAGGGGCUAGGGCCAAUUUUUUAAGAUUUGA
rnacentral:misc_RNA from 1 species